CCCCCCUGGCAAUGGCAAAGAGACACCAUGUUAGUGACGGUGUUCUUUUAUCAGUCAGUGGCAGAGCAGAUGGCAAUAUUUCUUCAUCCUAGCUUGAUGCCUACUUUGGUGGCCAAUGCUGUUUUAUGCCUAGGAUUCAUAA